ACAAUUUGCCUCCUACUAAUGGGUAUUUCUCAGCAAAACUUAUGGUUUUGUAUCAUUUGUGUGAAGGCAGUGGUUGGAAGUAGACAUCUAUCUUUCCCCGAAAGACAGAUUAGUCUUCUGAUAAUUCUUCACAGGUGGAUUUCAAUACAACAAGCAUUUCUGUAGUCUUGCCUGAGUCAAGACUGAAUAUGUUGUUUUGCCAUUUGGACAUUCUUGUAAGACUUAGGAAACUGGUUUGAGCCUCUGUCCCACAACAAACUUUAGAGGAUAAAACAUUUCUGUCAUCUUUCAUGGAGGUCUUGGUGAAUGAAUAUGUGUACAAGAUUAUUAGAUAUUCAAGUUACUGAAAACAAUGGAGGCUGUACAAGAAUGUGCGAGUCAAGUUCUGCUUCAUUCAGAUGUUCAUUCGGUCAACGUUUGGGUAGAAUUUACUGUGUCUGUAGAAAAGAACAGGGACUUAAUAGACCCAGGGCACUUUCACAGGUGACCUGUGUCUAGUGUUGGCAGGAGAGAUCUCUUUCCUCCAAAAGGUGCUUGAUUUCAGUACCUGUUCCACAAUCUUUGCCUGAAGACACUUUCACUUGCAACUUGAUAAUGGGAAGGAAAAACCAUCAAGAAAAUAAAAAGUAUUAGCAGUUUGCAUCAACAUAUUCAGAUGCUUAUAGCCUUUUGUUUGUAAUAAAGAAAGAGCAAGACCUGACUAAAUGUCUCUUAUACUUUUUCUCAAAUUUUAUCACUGUUUAUCUUUUUAUCACUUACAGAGAGACAGGGAUCCCUUGUCAGGUUGCUUCUUUUGUUGAGUCUUCAAUCUUGUAAAAACCUGCUCAGCUGUUCCCUUUUCAUCCCAGGAUAACAAAAAAGGUCAAGUUGAGAAUAUGAAAUCCUACUCAAAUAUAUGCAGUAGUUUGUUACUAUGAAAGCUCUUCAAAGGAUUCUAGAACUGGACUCUAGCAAUAAGCUCUUAAUGAUCUCUUUAAAACCAGGCAUUGGACUGUUUUUCUACUGCACAAAAAUAUGUACAAGAUUCAUUUUUGAGCAGAAUUUAUCAAGAUGUCCCAAAAUGCACGUUUUCUGUUGUCUAUAUUGGAAGUUUGUGGUGAGGUGCCUGCCUUCUCCUUGGAGGACUGCUGUAUAAGGAGUUGAAAACUUCUAGAAAUGUUCUGUAGAACAACAACAACAACAACAACAACAACAACAACAACAAAAUCUGUCAGACUCUCCACUUGGUGGUUGUCACCAAGGACUUAGUAGUGAAUAUAGUGUUUUUGUUUCUUCAGAUCUAUAUCUCAGAUUCGUUACUCCAGAUUUGUUGAUGACAGAAUUACUGUAAUAUCAUUAACUAUGAACUCAAACUUACUGCCAUGAAAAAUUUCCUAUUGUAUUUUGUGGGAGCAGAACGACACAUGGGAAAGUAAGCAUAUGGUGCAAAGAUCCCACAUUCAUGUGAACAGUGAGAAAAGCCUUGAUAAUUAGAGCCUGAAAAAAAGCAGAAACACUUGCCAUAAGAUGAUACACAAAAGUAGAUUUAUUAGGGUGUUCUUAAAGGUUUCCAGAAGAUACCCAUUCCCUGAGUAAAAAAUGUGUCUGGUAAAAUAUUACAUUCCACCUCUGCCCACCAACAGUCUCUAUAACAUUACUUUAGAUUUUUUUAUAAGCAGAUGAAAUUGCUACCUCAGCAUUGGAAGUUCAGACAAAUGGGAUCAGGCUGCAUCAUUUUUUUUCUAAAGACUGUCAUUUAUUUAUUAUUUUUAGAACAUUUUCAUUUUGCUUUUUUAACUCUGAAUUUAGAAACUAAAGAGAUAAACAAGAACUCUUUGCCACGGAAAUGAAACAAUUUCUUUUUUCUGACUAGUCAAAUCAGUGACAGGAAGGGAGACUGACCCUGGCUCUGCUGUGUUUGAGAAGUGAGAUUAAUUAUGACUAUUUAUUUAUUUGCAUUCCAGUAGAGUCUAGAGGCCCCAUAAGAAAUCAGGUCCCCAUUGUACAGUGCACUUUAGCAAUACCAAGUAAAAGGUACUUUAUGUCAUUUAGAAGGUCAGAGUUAUUUUAUAUAAUCUAUGAAUCUUUUGUCCCUGUUCUGAAGUGUUUACAUUGAGUAAUUUGUCCUUCUCUGUGUCUAAAUGACUGCCUUAAGG
ensembl:lncRNA